CUGGGACGGGUCCACAUUUUCUACCCGGGUACCCCACCCCUUAGUACCCUACCCUACCUGGAUACCCGUUAGGUUAAUUCCUGACAUCAAAUUUGUAAGAAAUGGCAAUACAUUCUUCAGCUCGGAGGCUAAAAUUUCGAGUUUUUCAAUAUCUUAACCAUGUAUUGUAUUCAAAAGAAGAGAGUGUAAAUUACGU